GACAGAGGGUGCAAACGUUGUUCGGAAUUACUGGGCGUAAAGGGUGCGUAGGCGGCUUUCUAAGUUGGAUGUGAAAACUCUGGGCUCAACCCAGAGCCUGCAUCCAAAACUGGAAAGCUAGGGUUCUGGAGGGGAAAGCGGAAUUCCUGGUGUAGCGGUGAAAUGCGUAGAUAUCAGGAGGAACACCGGUGGCGAAGGCGGCUUUCUGGACAGAUACCGACGCUGAGGCACGAAAGCUAGGGGAGCAAACAGG
rnacentral:rRNA from 1 species